UACGUAGGGGGCAAGCGUUGUCCGGAUUUAUUGGGCGUAAAGAGCGUGUAGGCGGCCAGAUAGGUCCGUUGUGAAAACUGGAGGCUUAACCUCCAGCGGUCGAUGGAAACCAUUUGGUUAGAGUCCGGAAGAGGAGAGUGGAAUUCCUGGUGUAGCGGUGAAAUGCGCAGAUAUCAGGAAGAACACCCGUGGCGAAGGCGGCUCUCUGGGACGGUACUGACGCUGAGACGCGAAAGCGUGGGGAGCGAACAGG
rnacentral:rRNA from 1 species